CACACAACCACCACGGAGGAGUAUCCCGGGCCACAGCUUUCUGAUCAGAGGUUUGGGGAUCGGUGGAGAAAACCAGAACAUAUGCACCAGAGAGAGCACGAGCUGGGGGAGCAGCAGGCAAAGGGAGAGGGAGAAGCAGAUUCCCCAGUGAGCAGAGAGCUCUCAUGGGACUCGAUUCCAGGAUCCCAGGAUCACGACCUGAGCCGGAGACAGAUGUCUGACCAACCGAGCCACCCAGGCGCCCCUGGAAAGGUGCAGAGCUUACUUAAAAGAAAAAAGAAAAAAAAUUAGUGGCACCUGGCUGGCUCAGUCAGUGGAACAUACAUAGGACUCCUGAUCUUGGGGUGGUGAGUUCCAGCCCCAC